rnacentral:lncRNA from 1 species
UAAACACAAAGAAUUUAUUUUUGCAAAAUUUAAAUGUAUCCUUUUUACAGAAAAGCACAGUCAACCAAAUAGAGGGAAGAUUGUACCUUGUUUUGUUUGAAACUUUAAUAGAGUAUGCACCAGUUCAGAAAAUGCAUGUUGAUAUGGUUUGGCUGUGUCCCACCCAAAUCUCAUCUUGAAUUCCCACGUGUUGUGGGAGGGACCCGGUGGGAGAUAAUUUAAUUAUGAGGGCGGUUUCCCCCAUACUGUUCUCGUGGUAGUGAAUAAGUCUCACGAGAUCUGACGGUUUUAUAAGGGGAAACCCCUUUCGCUUGGCUCUCCGAUUCUCUCUUGCUGCUGCCCUGUCGGAAGUGCCUUUCACCUUCCGCCAUGAUUGUGAGGCCUCCCCAGCCACGUGGAACUGAGUCCAUGAAACCUCUUUUGCUUCCCGGUCUCAGAUGAGGAUAGAGGGUCUUCCUCUCAGCAUCUGCAAUUAAAGUCUUAGAUCCUCUCUGAUUGGACCAGCCCAAGCCACAUGACUAUGUCUGAGCCAAUCACGAUAGCCAUGACCAGGGCCAUUGAAAGCCUCGUGUUCCAUCCCUGGAGCUGGAGUCAUUUGGAAUAAACUUUCCCUGACUCACAAGGAUCCUCAGAAAUUAGGAGCUGUUGGGAGAAUGAGGAAUGACCUGGAUGCUGAAGAGGCACCCACAGAUAUCUAAGAGAGAGGGGGAAGGUAUGAUUUUAAAAGGAGAUGGAAGUGUGUUAAUGUUGAAUGUCCUUUUUUUUCACAUUUUACAACUGGGACUUUGGUACUUUGAAUUGACUGGAAGAAGACCAAGCAGCAGCCACCACAGAGCCAGGCGUCUUUUGGUCUGGGACCGGGUUCCUUCUGUCUCGUGUGUUUCGUAAGGAAAGCUUUUGCUUCCCAGCUGCAGAAAUGUUUUCCAGGGGGGACUAGAGGACCAGAAUGUGCGGUAUUUCUUUCAGAGCUCAAAUAGAGUGAGUGGAGAGCAUAUGUAUCAAACAUUUACUGUGAUAUUUUUUUUUUUCUCAAAAUGGGGAAAUAAAUACAAAAAAUCAACAGAGGGAAUGAAAGCAGAGAAAUAGCCCAAAAGAAUACAGUACCAUACAUCUCCAGUUUAGACUGGCAAAAAGCAAAACUGCUUCUAGAAUGGUACAGGAAAUUGUGUGACAAAAUUAGAAUGGGCAGCUUUCCUAUUAAUUUUUACAUCGCUUUAUUUGUUUGCCAGUAAUUCAUAUCACCUAUAACAAAAGCACCAUCUUCCUGAAAGUUCUGGUAAAUAUACACUUCAGUUCACCGGGCAGAGGUUGGUAAAGCCGUGUCUUUUCAGAAAGUGUGAAUUAAGACAAGUAUUCAAAUGCAUUAGACCAAGGCUACUAUCUUUCAUAGCUACAUAUAAUGAACAUCUUCAGUGUAGGAUGAGUGGCCUCGCAAACUCCAUGAACAAAUAGUCACUUUAUUUAGAGAACCUUAUAAACCUCCUUUAGCUUUAAGUAGAUUGUCACACCUGGAGGGUCUCUAUUGGAGGAGCUUCAAUUUUCUUAUAAGAAAUGUGCUGAGAAGAAUUAGCCAAAGGAUAUUGAAAUUCCCUUCUUGCACAAAUGCAGAAAAGUAUUUUUCUUUGAAGUUCCUUGAGAUUAUGUUUUUCAAAGCCAAAGCAUUUGAAAUAUGUCCAUCAGGGGAAGCCUUUCUGACAAUUAUUUAUGAGACUCUGAGAAGCGGUGGAAGAGGGGACAGAAAUUUUAGAGGUAAAAUUGUGUUCCUUAAAAAGAUAUGUUGAAGGCUGGGCACGGUAGCUGACGCUUAUAAUCCCAGCACUUUGGGUGGCUGAGGUGGGCAGAUCACUCAAGGUCAGGAGUUCCAGACAAGCCUGGCCAAUUUGGUGAAACCUCAUCUCUAUUAAAAGUACAAAAAAUUAGCUGGUUGUGGUGGCAUGUGCCUGUAGUCCCAGCUACUCCGGAGGCUGAGGUGGGAGAACCACUUGAGCCUAGGGGGUAGGGGUUACAGUGAGCCGAGAUCACGCCACUGCACUCCAGCCUGGGUGACAGAGACUCUGUCUCAAACAAAAACAAACAAACAAAAAAAAAACAAAGGUGUGUCGAAGUCUGAUCCCUGCUACCUGUGCACGGGACCUUAUUUGGAAAUAAGGUCUUUGCAGAUGUAAUCAAGUUAAGAUGAAGUCAUACCAAAUUGGGGUGGGCCCUAAUCUAGUGACUGUUGUCUUUAUAAGAGGUCAUUUGGACACAGAGUCGUGGACAUAGAGAGGAGAGCAACCUGUGAUGAUGGGAGCAGAGAUUGCAGUGGUGCGCCUGCAACCAAGGAACACCACGGACUGCCCACAACUACCAGAAGCUUGGAAGAGGCAAGGGAGGAUUCUUCCCCAGAGUCUUCAGGUGGUGCACAGUCCUGCUGACACCUUGUUCUUGGACUUCCAGCCUCCAGAACUGUGAGAGAAUGAAUUUCUGUUGUUUUAAGCUGCCCAGUUUGUGGUCAUUUGUCAUGGCGGCCCUACGGAACUAGUACAGCCUGGACAAGCUCUAAGAUCUUCUUCCAGGCAGAGCAAGACCUAUAUCCUCUCCCGCCUUGACUCUGCAGAUAAACACAUGUCCUCAGCCAACCAGAUGGACUCAAGGUGACCUCACAAGUGCCUCCCUCUCCUGCUAAGGCCACCUGCCAGGGUCACUGUGUCACUCAGAUUCCCAACCUCAAAGAACCCCAACCUUUGGAGUCAACUCUCAUCAACCAGACACCAUAAUUUAAUUAGAAAAGGGGAGAUUUAAGAUAGAAAAACAAUACAGGACAUGGGUUUUCUGAGCAUGAAAUAGCUCCUGAACCCAAGAAAAAUUUCAUGUUCCAGUAGAAGGGCAUUGAUGACAAAGCCUGCUUCUGCCGUUUACUUGCUGGGGCUUUGGAUAAGACACUUGAGUGCUGUGAAUAUCAAGCUGGUCAUCUUUAAAAUGGGUCUAUCAUUCCUGCCUGGCCAAUUGCUUAGGGUUGUUUGGGGAACAAUUGAGAGAGACCGUGAGUGAACCAGGUUGAAAUGGAAAUUGCAUAUGAGUCUGAGGCAUUGAUUUUUAUUAGGGAGGCUACAAAACCCAGUUUUUAGUGAGAGAGGGAGAAAGUAUGAGAGGGAGAUGCUACUGGAAUUUAAUACUAGUGAGUUUCUCAGGCAGAGCUCAGGAUGAAGAAAUUUAUUUGCUCAAGGUCAACCAGCAAAAACUGGAAAAGACCUACAACUAGAAUUUGGGGUAUAAAAUUGUAUACUUGCUCCUGUUCUACCUUCUCACUGACCCCUUCCCUCCAACCUGCUCUAUGUAUUUUCUUUUUGAGACAGAGUCUUGCUCUGUCGCCCAGGCUGGAAUGAAGUGGCACAAUCUCGGCUCACUGCAACUGCUGCCUCCCAGGUUCAAGCGAGUCUCCUGCCUCAGCCUCCCAAGUAGCUGGGGUUACAGGCGUGUGCCACCACGCCCGGCUAAUUUUUUUUUUUUUUUUAGUAGAGUUGGGGUUUCACCAUGUUGGCCAGGCUGGUCUCAAACUCCUGGCCUCAAAUGAUCCACCCGCCUCGGCCUCCCAAUGUGCUGGGGUUACAGGCAUAAGUCACUGCGCCUGGCCCAUAUUUUAUUUUCUAAAUUGUUUUUUCUAAUUGAGGAAGCUUUUAUUCCUCCUUCUCCCCUCUCAAUUCCUGUCCCUCUCUCUGUCCUUCCUUUUCCCUCAUCCUCUUUCUCUUCCUCUCAAACCUCAUUUUUCCUUUGAAAAGUUUCAAGUAGAAUGAAUUCAGUGUUCUCAGCCGAGUUCCAGCAUAAAGAGCUCACUAUGCACUUCGACAGAAUUAUCUCCUUUGAAGAAUGCCCACUUUAAUCUCCUCUAAGACAGGUUUUUGUGGUGUUAGAACAAAAUGACAUAAUACUCUUCAAGCUAAAAGGCUUAUUAAGUAGCAUUCAGAAAAUCCUGCAACUUCCUCGUAAUUGGAGGCUUAAUUGGGUGGGUUUAAUAGCAUUUGGUUAUUAGGGCUAAUCAAAUAUUCCAGAAUAAUUGACUCAACUUUUUUUUUUGGGGGGGGCAAUUAUCAUCUCUAAUAUUGUUGUGAUUAAAAAGAUACAUCUUGGCUGAGUGAAGACAUUGUUCUAUGUAAUGCAUGUCUCAGUAGGGUUGGAACCAACAUAACCCUGGGCCAGCAGCUUCAUGGCAGAUUUAGUCAUAGCACAUGAUCAUAGCCCAGGAGAGCAUCUCUUUCGUCUGAGGUCUCUUGUGAUGCAAUGAAAAGCUUGAUUGUUUCCAGGGAACCUGUUUCAAGACCUGAUUAUGGGUAUGGGGGAGAGACAGUUGGGUUAGACCAUGUCAUAUCGUUUCAUCAGGGAGAUAAUAACCACCAUUCUAGGCUGGGAACUCCUCCGCCCCUUAAUAACCAUGGGACUUCAGGAAAGGGUGGGGGUCCCUGGGUUCUCAGCAGGGGAAGGAAGGAUAAUAAUUCCCACCUUUACCUCUCACAUGAGGAAAGGAGUAUGAACAGCCUUGAAAUUAAAUUGCAAAACCCUAUGGAAAUAGGAAGGAAGUAGAGAGAGAUGCUGUCCUCUGAGAUUUGGACUUCAACUAGUGGAGCCCCUGAAGGAGAAUGAGAAGGGUCACAUUUGUGUUUUGGGCAAGAUCUGUUCUGGAAGUCCUGUGAAGAAUGGAUUGGAAAAUAAUGAGAGUGGAAAGAAGAUGGGUGAGAACCAGAUCUUAGGAGCAGAAAUCCCUAGAAGGCACAUUGUAGAUGGACGUUAAAGCAAUGACUUGUUUGUGCUCAGUGAGUGCACGGAAGGGAUGGGCACUCUUUUUCUGUAAAUGCCUGGAUAGUACGUAUCUUAGGCUUUGCGUGCCAUACCAUCUCUGUCACAGCUGCACACCUCUGCCAGCGGAGUAGCUCAAAGCAGCUGUAGACAAUUUGCAAAAGAAUAGGUAUGGCUGUGUUCCAGUAAAACCUAUUUAUAAAAAUAAGUGGUUUGCUGACCCCCAGUGCAAGGUGACACUCAGGAUUUUCUUGACCAGAAUUCUGUAUUAACCAGAGUCUAGGAGUGGUGCAGAUACAGAGGGGUUAUUAGUCAGGGACCUCAAUGGAAAGCAUCAAGGUAAAGGGCCUAUUAAUGAAGGUAUGAGUGCAAUAAGGGAAGCAACAAGGGGUGCUGAGGCCCCCGGGGACCCACAGCAGCAGGAAGCCAUCACCAUCCUGAGGCCAGAGGGGCAGGGAGAGGGAGUGGUGCUCGUAGAACCCAGGUGAGAGCUAUGUCUUGGGAGAGGAGCCACCUGGCAGGAGCCGAAGCUGUGGUGGGACGCAGUCACCGUAAGGACUGUGCCCAAGCCAGGAAGAGAGGGAGGGGAGGAACAAAUGGCCCGACCUCCCUCUCUGCUGUUUGUUUUUUCCAGAGUUGCUAUUUGCCUCAUUGCCCAACCUCAGCCCCAUUUUACUUGUGGUUUAUCAUCCUGCCUCUAAGCUGUUACGUAUCUCAAACUAAUGAAUGUUGUUAAGAAAGAAAAGAA